ensembl:lncRNA
AUAAAAGCUGCACAUUAUGUAGCAGCUGUCAGUAUGCUUGUCCCUUUCUGUGUUGGAGUCUGGUUGGACAAUCUAGUGAGCUGACUGCUAUGGCUGGUUCCACACCUGCAGAAUCCAGAUUAACAUUGAAAAACUAACACUUCCAAAUGCUUGCCAGAGUCUCUAGAUAUCUUCACUGCAAGAUGAAGACAACCUUUAGGGACAAGUAGGAGGCCAAACAGUUGGUUCAAUAUGCGAUGGGCAAGAAACCUGGUGGAGACCGUAGUGCCAUGAAUACAAAAAAGUCUUGUAGGACACAACUGCAAUUGCUGAUUAUGGGCGGUCGACCUAAACUGACAGACCUGUCCAGGUCAAAGGAGGCUCAUGGAUCUUGGGGAGAAGAUGGGCGAGGCCUGAGCUCUUAAUCAAGGACUGUCCAGAGAAAACAGGCUCCUGCCUUGAUCGCCAGAAGUGGUCAAGCAGUUUCAGCCUCUUGUGAGAGUGGAAAUUACCAGCAGUCUUGAGUGAUUUGAGUGAACGUGUCUCUCUGUUACAAACCCGAUCUUUCCUUUAAUGGAAUCGGGUUGAGUGUUGCUGCUGGCUCUGUGUAGCUGUACGAUCGGCACUGCAGGUGUAUUGGUGCGAAGCUCCCUGACGGGUAUGUAUGUAUAUCAGUGGCAUCGCGUGUAUGUUCUUAAAUCAUAAACUGUCAUUGAAUUUGGUUUGUUUGUGCACGCCAGGGUUGUAAAAUUGCUUCACGUGCGCUGGUAUCUGCACCAGCCCCUCCCUUCCCUGCCACGGUGCUGUUUUGUCGCCGCUGACUUUGGGUUUAAACUACGUUCAACGGGUUGCAGCUACACAACUGUAAAUUCCUCCAGGCGUUGAGCGCCUCACAGCGCCCGGAUCUGUUGCUUAAAGUGACAGGGCUGUCUGAUUGCAACCCGGUUGAUAGUUUGCCUUUUUUUGGUUUGCCCGUGCUUGCUACUAUGUGUAUGGAGAUUGGGGUUUAUUUGUUAAAUUAUGAUUUUAAGUGAUGUUGGUUUAUAUUUCUAAGUUUCGAUAAGAAGACUAAUUUUGGUUGGAAUUCUAUUAUCUGUUAAUUUUGGUUAUUUUAGUUGGUAGGCUCUAGUGGUGCCGAAGGUGGUGGUGUGUCUCUCUCCAGUGUGCUGUGUUUUCCCCGUUUGGUUUAAUUUGAGUCGUUUGCUGCAGUGUGAUUGGGGUGAUCCUUCUCUGAGACCCCAUUGACCCUGUCCCUCCACCGGUAAGACCUCAGCACUUACUUUCCCUAUUUAGUAGGUCUGGUAUUUUAAAUGGUAUUUUAUAUUUGUUUUAGUAAUUGUAUUAAAUAAAAUCAUUGUUGUAACGGAACUACGUCUCUGGCUUCAUGCAUGAAUCAAAUCUGUGUGCUUUAGUAAAAUACUAUUCUCGGGGUGAAAUUCCCCGGGUGGCGUUGCCAGUGUCAUCAGUGUUGAGCGGGCCAAAAAGGCACUCCACACCAAAAGAGUUCCACUCGCCACAUAAUGCUUGUCAUGCAGGCUGUGUGACAGGUCUAAUAACAUGUUCUGUUUUUCCUAACUGUCAAGAGCCUGACUGGUGCAUAAUGUAUUAAAUGAAUCUGCUUCUAAUAUGUUGUAUGUCCUGAAAUAUGCCGCCCUCUUUAGCUGCUUCAUUUAAUAUUUGCAAUUUCCCUGUAUGUGCAAAAAGCUGCCAUCAUUGUUCGGGAAAAAUUCCGGUUGCGUUAGGUAAAGUAGUUUUAGAAGUGGCCCAGCAACUUCAGUAUGCUGUGAAAAUUGCCAGCUGACUUAUGGAUUUGAGUGAGAGGUAAGACCUUUUCUCCAGUACUGAUUUUGUUAUGUCAUGCAGGCUGUGUGACGGGUCUAAUACUGUUUAGAAGGCCUGACUGUUUUGCUUAUGCAUCUGCUUAUAAAUAUGUACUGAACUACGUGUGUGUGUGUGUGUGUGUGUGUGUGUAACUAUUUCUGGUUGGCUAAAGUACUGUUGUACUACUACGCAGAAAAAUUCAGAACACAAUUGGCUCCUGCCUCAAGUCUUCCAAAAAGUGGUCAAGCAGCUUUACCCCUCCUGUGAAAUUCUCCUGCCAACUUAGCGAUUCGAGUAACAGGUGAGCUUUUUUCCCCAGUAUUGGUUAUGCAGGCUGUGUGACAGGUCUAGAAAAUGUUGUUUAAAAUUGACUGUUGCAGAAUGUUGCUUUGCUUAUCUUGGUUUGUAUGUCCUUAACUAUUUUCCACUGGCCAAUAUUUUAGGACUGUUUGGAUUGCUAAAUGUAAACCUGUAGGUGCAAGAUGUCUUGUCAGACUUUUCGGGAUGAUUUGAGUAAUGUUCUCUUUCUUUAGGGAAAGUGGAAGCCAACUGGUUCAAGACUUUCCUGACAUAAUGGACAGCUGACAGGAUUUGGCGGAAGGCAAGACCAGGGGUUGCGCUAAGUGUUAGGGGUUGCGCUAAGUGUUAGGGGUUGCGCUAAGUGUUAGGGGUUGCGCUAAGUGUUA